GAAGAGGAUCCUUUGCUUUUGGACCACCAUUGACUAAGGGAUGGGAAUGGGUAACUGAAGCCACAGAAAGCAAAAUCAUGGACACGGUACACUUCCCAGACUCCCUUGCAGCCGGGUGUGGCUAUGUCCUUCAUUCUCACCAGGAAGUGGGGGAGACGACCAAAGCUUUGACAUCAUGUGCUUAAAAGGAAAUCCUUCACUCUCCACUUCAAAUUUGUUUGCCUCUUACCUUGAACUGGAAUGUGAACAAUUAUGGUGGAAACUGCACUUUAACCAUGCAUGCAAAAACAAGUCUCCGGGGAAGGAAGAUAAGGGUCCAUAACUUCCAAGUCGGAUUCUUAAGAUGUUCCUUGUUUGCCUUGACAUUCCAUGUACUUGCCUCAAGAUCAGUGUUCACAUCAGUGAAAUGUAGCUUCACAGUUACAGCUUGGUUAUGUAUUAAUUAACAAAAUACACAGGAGCUGUGAUCAUGCGUGCUUAGGAAAUAUGAGGUUUUGCAAAGUUAAACAGUUUUUAAUUUUUCCUUGAGUAUUAAGUUACAGAACUUCUUGAAGUCCAUUCUGAAUCUUCACAUGCAGGAUUUCUCAAGUAUUUUUGACAACAAUUUCUUCUUUUGGAGGAAAAGCUCAUGAAACUUGUGCUUGGGGAAAUAUCGAAUGAGAACUCUGUUCUUGACCAAGAUUCCAUAAAACAUGGACCUGGGAAUUCCAGUUGAUAUUCAAA